UCUGCCUAUUAGUGGGGGACAACAUCUCGAAAGGGAUGCUAAUACCGCAUACGUCCUACGGGAGAAAGCAGGGGAUCUUCGGACCUUGCGCUAAUAGAUGAGCCUAAGUCGGAUUAGCUAGUUGGUGGGGUAAAGGCCUACCAAGGCGACGAUCUGUAGCGGGUCUGAGAGGAUGAUCCGCCACACUGGGACUGAGACACGGCCCAGACUCCUACGGGAGGCAGCAGUGGGGAAUAUUGGACAAUGGGGGGAACCCUGAUCCAGCCAUGCCGCGUGUGUGAAGAAGGCCUUAUGGUUGUAAAGCACUUUAAGCGAGGAGGAGGCUACUUUAGUUAAUACCUAGAGAUAGUGGACGUUACUCGCAGAAUAAGCACCGGCUAACUCUGUGCCAGCAGCCGCGGUAAUACAGAGGGUGCGAGCGUUAAUCGGAUUUACUGGGCGUAAAGCGUGCGUAGGCGGCUUAUUAAGUCGGAUGUGAAAUCCCCGAGCUUAACUUGGGAAUUGCAUUCGAUACUGGUGAGCUAGAGUAUGGGAGAGGAUGGUAGAAUUCCAGGUGUAGCGGUGAAAUGCGUAGAGAUCUGGAGGAAUACCGAUGGCGAAGGCAGCCAUCUGGCCUAAUACUGACGCUGAGGUACGAAAGCAUGGGGAGCAAACAGGAUUAGAUACCCUGGUAGUCCAUGCCGUAAACGAUGUCUACUAGCCGUUGGGGCCUUUGAGGCUUUAGUGGCGCAGCUAACGCGAUAAGUAGACCGCCUGGGGAGUACGGUCGCAAGACUAAAACUCAAAUGAAUUGACGGGGGCCCGCACAAGCGGUGGAGCAUGUGGUUUAAUUCGAUGCAACGCGAAGAACCUUACCUGGCCUUGACAUACUAGAAACUUUCCAGAGAUGG
rnacentral:rRNA from 1 species